UGAAAAUGCGCUACAGCUCUUUUUUUAGUGAGCGCGACAUCUUUCGAUUUCAAACUAAAUUAAUGUUACUGAAGGAAAGCUUUCUAUCAUGGAAAACACAGAGAAGAGCACAGAGCAAGCUGUCUCAACUGCCUGCACUGAUCUGGAACAGAUACUGAAAGGGCUGGACUCCUUGUCUAACUGCAUGAAUCAACUGGCAUUGCGAACCCAGCUGAGUCAAUGUGAGCUGAUCGUUUGUGUUGGCCACCCUGACAAGCUGGCGUUUCUGAAAGUCCAAGAGGCACUGGAGCAGCGGCCCCCAGCUUGUCCUGAAACUUGAGGCGUGACGAACAGAGAAGGACUGUGAGAGGCAGCACCUGACCUUGUUCACCUCUCUGAGAGCAACUUCAGCUUGAUGCCUGGUCACCUUUGCUCCAUACCAGCUGGGAUCCAAACCCUGGAUGCGCUAUUAUAAAACAGUCAUAGUAAGGAAUAAUAAAUGAGUUUUUUCUCUUUUGCAAUGACAA